rnacentral:rRNA from 1 species
UUAAUUGAAGAGUUUGAUCAUGGCUCAGAUUGAACGCUGGCGGCAGGCCUAACACAUGCAAGUCGAGCGGCAGCACAGAGGAACUUGUUCCUUGGGUGGCGAGCGGCGGACGGGUGAGUAAUGCCUGGGAAAUUGCCCGGUAGAGGGGGAUAACCAUUGGAAACGAUGGCUAAUACCGCAUAAUCUCGCAAGAGCAAAGCAGGGGACCUUCGGGCCUUGCGCUACCGGAUAUG